rnacentral:snoRNA from 1 species
CGUCCUUACAUGACGAAACAUUUCGGAUGUAAACAUUACCUUUACAGAAAAGCGCAAACAAACCCCGUGUUGAUAUUUCCGUUGCCUUCCUUCUGAUCAUUCAA